UCCUGGCUCAGGACGAACGCUGGCGGCGUGCUUAACACAUGCAAGUCGAACGAGAAUCUGCUGAAGGAGGAUUCGUCCAACGGAAGUAGAGGAAAGUGGCGGACGGGUGAGUAACGCGUGAGGAACCUGCCUUGAAGAGGGGGACAACAGUUGGAAACGACUGCUAAUACCGCAUGAAGCAUAGAGAUCGCAUGAUUUUUAUGCCAAAGAUUUAUCGCUUCAAGAUGGCCUCGCGUCUGAUUAGCUAGUUGGCGGGGUAACGGCCCACCAAGGCGACGAUCAGUAGCCGGACUGAGAGGUUGAACGGCCACAUUGGGACUGAGAUACGGCCCAGACUCCUACGGGAGGCAGCAGUGGGGAAUAUUGGGCAAUGGGCGCAAGCCUGACCCAGCAACGCCGCGUGAAGGAAGAAGGCUUUCGGGUUGUAAACUUCUUUUAAGAGGGAAGAGCAGAAGACGGUACCUCUAGAAUAAGCCACGGCUAACUACGUGCCAGCAGCCGCGGUAAUACGUAGGUGGCAAGCGUUGUCCGGAUUUACUGGGUGUAAAGGGCGUGCAGCCGGGUCUGCAAGUCAGAUGUGAAAUCCAUGGGCUCAACCCAUGAACUGCAUUUGAAACUGUAGAUCUUGAGUGUCGGAGGGGCAAUCGGAAUUCCUAGUGUAGCGGUGAAAUGCGUAGAUAUUAGGAGGAACACCAGUGGCGAAGGCGGAUUGCUGGACGAUAACUGACGGUGAGGCGCGAAAGUGUGGGGAGCAAACAGGAUUAGAUACCCUGGUAGUCCACACUGUAAACGAUGAAUACUAGGUGUGCGGGGACUGACCCCCUGCGUGCCGCAGUAAACACAAUAAGUAUUCCACCUGGGGAGUACGAUCGCAAGGUUGAAACUCAAAGGAAUUGACGGGGGCCCGCACAAGCGGUGGAUUAUGUGGUUUAAUUCGAAGCAACGCGAAGAACCUUACCAGGGUUUGACAUCCUGCUAACGAAGUAGAGAUACAUUAGGUGCCCUUCGGGGAAAGCAGAGACAGGUGGUGCAUGGUUGUCGUCAGCUCGUGUCGUGAGAUGUUGGGUU
rnacentral:rRNA from 1 species